rnacentral:rRNA from 1 species
UACGUAGGGGGCAAGCGUUGUCCGGAUUUAUUGGGCGUAAAGAGCGUGUAGGCGGCCAGGUAGGUCCGUUGUGAAAACUGGAGGCUCAACCUCCAGCGGUCGAUGGAAACCAUCUGGCUAGAGUCCGGAAGAGGAGAGUGGAAUUCCUGGUGUAGCGGUGAAAUGCGCAGAUAUCGUAAGGAAGACCAGUGGCGAAGGCGGGUCUCUGGACAGUUCCUGACGCUGAGGCACGAAGGUCAGGGGAGCAAACGGG